GAUGAACGCUGGCGGCGUGCCUAAUACAUGCAAGUCGAGCGAACAGACGAGGAGCUUGCUCCUCUGACGUUAGCGGCGGACGGGUGAGUAACACGUGGAUAACCUACCUAUAAGACUGGGAUAACUUCGGGAAACCGGAGCUAAUACCGGAUAAUAUAUUCAACCGCAUGGUUCAAUAGUGAAAGACGGUUUUACUGUCCCUUAUAGAUGGAUCCGCGCCGCAUUAGCUAGUUGGGAAGGUAAAGGCUUACCAAGGCAACGAUGGGUAACCGGCCUGGGAGGGUGAUCGGCCCCACUGGAACUGAGACCCGGGCCAGAAUCCCACGGGAGGCAGCAGUAGGGAAUCCUCCGGAAUGGGCGAAAGCCUGACGGAGCAACGCCGCGUGAGUGAUGAAGGUCUUCGGAUCGUAAAACUCUGUUAUUAGGGAAGAACAAAUGUGUAAGUAACUAUGCACGUCUUGACGGUACCUAAUCAGAAAGCCACGGCUAACUACGUG
rnacentral:rRNA from 1 species